rnacentral:rRNA from 1 species
CCUACUCCUACGGGAGGCAGCAGUAGGGAAUCUUCCACAAUGGACGCAAGUCUGAUGGAGCAACGCCGCGUGAGUGAAGAAGGUUUUCGGAUCGUAAAGCUCUGUUGUUGGUGAAGAAAGAUAGUGAGAGUAACUGCUCAUUAUUUGCCGGUAAUCAACCAGAAAGUCACGGCUAACUACGUGCCAGCAGCCGCGGUAAU